UUAAUUGGUCAAGCUACAAAGGGCUCACGGCGGAUACCUUGGCACACAGAGGCGAUGAAGGACGUGGUUACCUGCGAUAAGUCUCGGGGAGCUGGAAGCACGCUUUGAUCCGGGAAUUUCCGAAUGGGGCAACCCUUUUAUACGGCCAGCUGAAUACAUAGGCUGGCGCGAGCCAACCCAGCGAACUGAAACAUCUUAGUAGCUGGAGGAAAGGAAAGUAAAAACGACUCCCUAAGUAGCGGCGAGCGAACGGGGAAGAGCCUAAACCGAUGGUUUCGACCAUCGGGGUUGUGGGACAGCAACGUGUAUCAGGAAUGUUAGGAGAAGUGUUUGAAUGGCACGCCACAGAGGGUGAAAGCCCCGUAUCUGAAAACUGAACUGAGCUAGCUGUAUCCCGAGUAGCACGGAGCACGUGAAAUUCCGUGUGAAUCCGCGAGGACCACCUCGUAAGGCUAAGUACUACUGUGUGACCGAUAGCGAAACAGUACCGCGAGGGAAAGGUGAAAAGAACCCCGGGAGGGGAGUGAAAUAGAACAUGAAACCGUGAGCCUACAAGCAAUGGGAGCCCUACUUAUAGGGUGACCGUGUGCCUGUUGAAGAAUGAGCCGGCGACUUAUAGGCACUGGCGGGUUAAACCGGAAAUGGUGGAGCCAUAGCGAAAGCGAGUCUGAAUAGGGCGUUUGUCAGUGUUUAUAGACCCGAACCCGGGUGAUCUAACCAUGGCCAGGAUGAAGCUUGGGUGAUACCAAGUGGAGGUCCGAACCGACUGGCGUUGAAAAGCCAGCGGAUGAGCUGUGGUUAGGGGUGAAAUGCCAAUCGAACCCGGAGCUAGCUGGUUCUCCCCGAAAUACGUUGAGGCGUAGCGUCUCGUGCUCCAGCAGGGGGGUAAAGCCACCAUUUCGGUACGGGCUGCGAGAGCGGUACCAAAUCGAGAUGAACUCUGAAUACCCUGUGUGUAGCGAGGCAGUCAGACUGUGGGGGAUAAGCUCCAUGGUCGAGAGGGAAACAGCCCAGACCGCCAGCUAAGGUCCCCAAAUCAACACUAAGUGAUAAGGGAGGUGGGAUUGCAUAGACAACCAGGAGGUUUGCCUAGAAGCAGCCAUCCUCAAAGGAGUGCGUAAUAGCUCACUGGUCGAGCGAUCCUGCACCGAAAAUGAACGGGGCUAAGUGUUGUACCGAAGCUGCGGAUUUUAUGGUAGGGGAGCGUUCUAUGUGGGGCGAAGCAUUAGCGUGAGCGGAUGUGGACUGCAUAGAAGUGAGAAUGUCGGCUUGAGUAGCGAAAACAUGGGUGAGAAUCCCAUGCACCGAAACCCUAAGGGUUCCUCCGGCAGGCUCGUCCGCGGAGGGUUAGUCUGGACCUAAGGCGAGGCCGAAAGGCGUGGGUCGAUGGAUAACAGGUCAACAUUCCUGUACCGGUCAUGUUUUGGGAAGAGGGACGGAGAAGGCUAGCCAAGCCAGAUGUUGGUUACUGGUUCAAGCGUUCGAGGCGUUGAGGAGCGGUGAAAACGUUCCGAGCUGAGGCGUGAGUACGAGCUGCUACGGCAGCGAAGUUGGUGACGUCAUGCUUCCAAGAAAAGCUCUAUACCCGUUAAGACAUGAUUGCCAGUACCCGAAACCGACACAGGUGGGGUGGUAGAGAAUACCGAGGUGCGCGAGGUAACUCUCUCUAAGGAACUCGGCAAAAUGGCCCCGUAACUUCGGGAGAAGGGGUGCCACAGCAAUGUGGUCGCAGUGAAGAGGCCCUGGCGACUGUUUACCAAAAACACAGGUCUCCGCUAAGUCGCAAGACGAUGUAUGGGGGCUGACGCCUGCCCAGUGCCGGAAGGUUAAGGAAGCCGGUCAGCGUAAGCGAAGCUGGCGACUGAAGCCCCGGUGAACGGCGGCCGUAACUAUAACGGUCCUAAGGUA
rnacentral:rRNA from 1 species